rnacentral:tRNA from 1 species
GCCGAUGUGGUGAAAUUGGUAGACACGAUAGAUUCAAAAUCUUUUCCUAGUGAUAGGGUGCUGGUUCGAGUCCGGUCAUCGGCA